GGGGAUGCGUGGUUUCGACAGGGCCGGAUCCCCGGAGAACGCGAGCCGAGGUGCCGUCAGGCCUCGUUAAACCGGCGGCAAAACGAAGUAACUGGCAACCGCCAGCCUGCUCUCGCCCUCGCUGCUUAGGCAGUAAGGUGAGCGUGGAAGCAGCCUCCUCCCCGUGGGCUGUGGAAGCGUCAUGCAGCGGGGAUGCAGCUCCGGCGAGCGUCGCGUAGCCGGGGACCAGGCCCGAUCCAGGGACACGCGGCUGGACCGCAGGGGACGCUGCCGAUGGUGGCCCGGGCGGUCGACGACAAAGCAUCGGACACGCUCGUAGUGGUCUCCGGCUGAUGGUUCUGGACGGGGAGUUCGACCCUCCCCCAUCUCCACCA
rnacentral:tmRNA from 1 species